CUUACAUCGCUUACAUUCAGUACUUAUUUAUUUAUGACUUUUUAAGAAAAAAAAUAAUUUUGGUAGGAUUCAUUUUCGUUUAAUUAGGAUUUUCACCAUUUUCAGUCAUGAAUCAUAUAGGGCUUUUUCACGUCGCGAAAAUCCGACUUCCAGAAAUCCGGCAACGCAUGAUGUGUGCAGCUUUUUCCGUUUACAUGGCAAAGGCCAUAAGAAAUCUAAGUUGCUUCAAUAAAAUAAAUCUAGUGUUUUUAAUUCGGAAUAUUUCUUCAAAAGAAUUGCACAGUGCUCUAGUUUCCCAUCAGUCCUGGUGGGAGCCUCCCAGUCGACUCUACAUCCACUUCUAGAUUAUGACCAGUUCAAUAUGAAAUGAGAUCAAGAAAAGUCAUCACAUACUCGGGACAAAGAUGUGGUGGUGUCAGUUAGGUUAGGUUAGGUUAGGUAGGUAAUGCCACGAUGAAAACUUCCAUCGAUAACCAAAAGGAGAAGGAAGCAGCAGCCAACAAAAAAAAGGGAAGCGUCGCACGAUACACCUUUUAACAUUUACAUCCUAUCCCGUGUCCGUCCCUAGUUAAGCCAACGACUAAAAAUUGGCAGUAACCUCAUUGAAGGUAAUCAUAUCUUUUUGGCCGACUUACAUUGGAACCCACAACUGGAGGCCUAAGCGGUUGACCGAGUUUAUCGUAUUGGACAAAAAAACCCGUUCAAUUACAUCGCUUUGUAACAAGAGGAACUGUGGAAGAAGGUCUAGUCAAAAUUCAAGUGAAGAAGUUGAGAUUAGCUACCGAAGUUCUCUCGGGAGAUUUAAGUAGUGGAAAGUUAUCUAUUGAUAACUUGAACGAAAUUUUCGGAUGUGUCAUCAUCCAUCGACAAACUCUAAAGCAAAGAUGCAGAUAAAAUUUACCUAACCAAACCAUACUUUAAAAAACCUAACUUUGGCAAAACUAACGGAACCAUACCUUUUCUAGACUAACCUACUUAUCUUAACCUAUCCUAUCAUGGUCGAACCCAGUCUAAUUUAACCCACAACCCACCUCACAUAAACAAAGACAAUAUUUAUUGCUAAAAAAUUUCUCUUUUUUAUUCCUAUUUAAGAAUAGUAGUACUGACAUUUGUUCAUGCAAAGUCAUUCAAAUUCCGCUGUGAUUUGGUCUGUUCGUUAGGCUCACUUAUUUUUUUCCAUUCUUGCCCGUCUGCAAUACAGUAAGAAACCAUUAAAAAAUGAUUCUUCAAACCAAUUUUCGCCAAAAUAUUUAAAUUACAAUUAGACAGGUAAUAGUCGAUAAUCGGACUGUCUAUGGACGACAUCAAAGUGAUCAAAUUGUUAAGCUCGACAGUUGGUCGUUUCCCAUUUGAUAUUCAGAAUACUCACUAACUUGGCGUUGCAUUGGUUUGAAAAUCUUUUUGUCAAU